UACGGAGGGGACUAGCGUUGUUCGGAAUUACUGGGCGUAAAGCGCGCGUAGGCGGACCUGCAAGUCGGGGGUGAAAUCCCGAGGCUCAACCUCGGAACUGCCUUCGAUACUGCGGGUCUCGAGUCCGGGAGAGGUGAGUGGAAUUCCUAGUGUAGAGGUGAAAUUCGUAGAUAUUAGGAAGAACACCAGUGGCGAAGGCGGCUCACUGGCCCGGUACUGACGCUGAGGCGCGAAAGCGUGGGGAGCAAACAGG
rnacentral:rRNA from 1 species